AGCUGCUUCAGUGUCUUGUCAGAGCUAGCCUAAGGUUUGCAGGUACGGGAUAGACCAGGAGGCCAGCUAGAGUAAAGUGAUGUCUUGUAAUAGCUAGUUGUGGACAUGAGAAUAUUGUAAUGUAAUGUAUCGAAUAGUUAUGAAAUGUUAAGGAUUGUAUUGAGGAUAGAAUUGUGCUUGACUCUAGUAUGUUAGUUAAUCCCUUUA